CUCCGAGGCUGGAAUGGGCUACAGCAGC
rnacentral:piRNA from 1 species